AUGUUCUCAGUAGCUCUGCUGCUGCUGCUGGCUGCUGCAUCCUGUAUAAAGUGUGAACAGCUGACCCAGCCAACCUCUCAGAAUGUGCAGCCAGGUCAACGUCUGACCAUCACCUGUCAGGUCUCUUAUUAUCUGAGCAGCUACUACACAGCCUGGAUCAGACAGGCUGCUGGGAAAGGACUGGAGUGGAUUGGAAUGGAACGAAUUGGAUAUACCAAAUACUACAAAGAUUCACUUCGGAACAAGUUCAGCAUCAGUUUGGAUGGCUCCAGUAAAACAGUGACUCUGAAUGGACAGAAUAUGCAGCCUGGAGACUCUGCUGUGUAUUACUGUGCCAGACGAGACACAGUGACACAAACCAGCUGCAGAGCUGAACAAAAACCCAUCAGAACAUGA